rnacentral:rRNA from 1 species
CACGUAGGGCGCAAGCGUUGUCCGGAAUUAUUGGGCGUAAAGAGCUCGUAGGCGGUCUGUCGCGUCGAUCGUGAAAACCUGGGGCUCAACUCCAGGCCUGCAGUCGAUACGGGCAGACUAGAGUUCGGUAGGGGAGACUGGAAUUCCUGGUGUAGCGGUGAAAUGCGCAGAUAUCAGGAGGAACACCGGUGGCGAAGGCGGGUCUCUGGGCCGAAACUGACGCUGAGGAGCGAAAGCGUGGGGAGCGAACAGG